rnacentral:rRNA from 1 species
UACGUAGGUGGCAAGCGUUGUCCGGAAUUAUUGGGCGUAAAGCGCGCGCAGGCGGUCCUUUAAGUCUGAUGUGAAAGCCCACGGCUCAACCGUGGAGGGUCAUUGGAAACUGGGGGACUUGAGUGCAGAAGAGGAAAGCGGAAUUCCACGUGUAGCGGUGAAAUGCGUAGAGAUCCGGAAGAACACCCGUGGCGAAGGCGGCUCUCUGGGACGGUACUGACGCUGAGACGCGAAAGCGUGGGGAGCGAACAGG